GACGAACGCUGGCGGCGUGCUUAGCACAUGCAAGUCGAACGGAAAGGCCCUGCUUUUGUGGGGUGCUCGAGUGGCGAACGGGUGAGUAACACGUGAGUAACCUGCCCUUGACUUUGGGAUAACUUCAGGAAACUGGGGCUAAUACCGGAUAGGAGCUCCUGCUGCAUGGUGGGGGUUGGAAAGUUUCGGCGGUUGGGGAUGGACUCGCGGCUUAUCAGCUUGUUGGUGGGGUAGUGGCUUACCAAGGCUUUGACGGGUAGCCGGCCUGAGAGGGUGACCGGCCACAUUGGUACUGAGAUACGGCCCAGACUCCUACGGGAGGCAGCAGUGGGGAAUAUUGCACAAUGGGCGGAAGCCUGAUGCAGCAACGCCGCGUGCGGGAUGACGGCCUUCGGGUUGUAAACCGCUUUCGCCUGUGACGAAGCGUGAGUGACGGUAAUGGGUAAAGAAGCACCGGCUAACUACGUG
rnacentral:rRNA from 1 species